CUUAUAUAUAGUACUGUCCAGCUGCCAGUGAAACAAGAAAUAGCUGUUCAGGUGUUUACAGUUUAAAUUUUCAGAUGGAUAUGUUGUUCAUUUCUUCACAUGUCCCUUCAAGAUUCUCAUUUUGGAUUAUUAUUUGCAAUGUUUGAAAUCUUUUGGUGUCAUUGUGCAUACAAUAUUGGAUUUAUUUUAUUUGAAUUCACUUCUUAGAUUUUUUAUAGCAAUUUUGCUUCUUAAAAUGGUGUGUGUUUUUUUCAAGAUUUUAUUGUCAUGAAGGACAUCAAGGAGGAAAUAAUUCAUUCAAACUGUUUUGUGGGGCUUACAUAUGAUGUUGUACAUGUAAAAUUCGAAAAUAAGUUUGGAGUAUACCUUGCUGUGUUUUUUCUUUGAAAUCUAUUAUAAUAUUAGUGGGACUUUUGUGCAUAAAAUGCUGUGUUUGCUCAAGGAAAUUCAAAUUUUCAUACGAUGGGAUUUAGUUAUGUUAAAGAUUAAAAAAUUUCAAAACUGGAAUUCAAGUAGGAGAUAUAGUGUGAGUUCAUCCAACAUGUUUCUGUGGCUUUAAAUGUGAUUUUAAAAACAUUCAUUAUUAAUUUGGGAUCUAUUACAAACUUAAGAUGAUUUACCAUUUAAAUGGGAUCUUGGAAAUGAAAUAAAAUGUUGAAUUAAUGCAGUGGAUAUAGUCUAAUCUAGUGAUAAAGUGAAAAAUGAAAGUAAAAUAUUCUAAAAUAUUCCUAACGUGGGGAAAUGUUUUAAGUGAAUGUGAAAUUGGAAAUAGUCAUUAUAAAAUUCUGGAUCAAAUAUUGUUUGAUUUGGAAAUUUAUAAUAGGAAAUGAAAUAAAAUGUUUACUGUGGAUAUAGAAAAAUCAAGUGAUAUAUAGUAAAAAUAUAAAUAAAAUAUUACAAAAUAUUUGUAAAGUGAGGAUAACUAUUUGGAAUAUAGUAA
rnacentral:lncRNA from 1 species